rnacentral:lncRNA from 1 species
GAGAAGGGCCAAAUUGCGUUGUCAUCAUAAACUAACUAGGUUCUCUAAAUGAAUUCUUUUUAGCUUGGGUAGCCAUAACAUACUGGUAGGUGUCACUCAUGGCUUGUAGAAGCCCUGUAAUGACUAAUUAUAAUUAGCCUUCCCCAAUAGGGAGAAUUGUAUGAAGGGAUAUAAUUCACACUUGAUUCAGAGUGAAUCAUUCAUGCCCACUGCCUCGCUAAUUAGAACCUAUAAGAUUGCAC